AUCUCCUCAACAAGCUUUUAAGGAGUUGUCACUUGAGCAGGACUCGUUCAUCGUAAAAGUUGAUCUCAAUGCCAAGAGAAAAAAAGGAAACGCCUCACUAAAGCAUAUAAGUGAGGGGGCUGACCUCGAUUCCACUGUCAAAGUUGAUGAAAAUGAUGUUAAAAGGAAACUCUCUGAGCAUUAUUCGCUGCUGCAUGACAUAGCUGAAAAUGAAAGACUAAGAGGGGAACUUGUUGGGACAACAUUGUCUCUGAAUCUAUAUGAACAAUACAAGAAACAGAAGAAACGAAGAACAAAGUAGACAUUUGUUGUCUACGAUUUUGUAGGUAGAUCUAUUUAAAAAGUUUAAAGCACAAUGUACUAUUUUUGGAUAGGAAAGUGCAACUCGCGAUUGUUUUGCACAAACUGGGCAUAAUGCCCCUAUUCUGUUGUAUGGAUCUGAUUAUUUAUUUCGA
rnacentral:misc_RNA from 1 species